AUUGAACGCUGGCGGCAGGCUUAACACAUGCAAGUCGAGCGGGGUGAUGGUGCUUGCACUAUCACUUAGCGGCGGACGGGUGAGUAAUGCUUAGGAAUUUGCCUAUUAGUGGGGGACAACAUCUCGAAAGGGAUGCUAAUACCGCAUACGUCCUACGGGAGAAAGCAGGGGAUCACUUGUGACCUUGCGCUAAUAGAUGAGCCUAAGUCGGAUUAGCUAGUUGGUGGGGUAAAGGCCUACCAAGGCGACGAUCUGUAGCGGGUCUGAGAGGAUGAUCCGCAACACUGGGACUGAGACACGGCCCAGACUCCUACGGGAGGCAGCAGUGGGGAAUAUUGGACAAUGGGGGGAACCCUGAGCCAGCCAUGCCGCGUGUGUGAAGAAGGCCUUAUGGUUGUAAAGCACUUUAAGCGAGGAGGAGGCUCUUUUGGUUAAUACCCAAGAUGAGUGGACGUUACUCGCAGAAUAAGCACCGGCUAACUCUGUGCCAGCCGCCGCGGUAA
rnacentral:rRNA from 1 species